rnacentral:rRNA from 1 species
AGGGCACCACCAGGAGUGGAGCCUGCGGCAUAAUUUGACUCAACACGGGGAAACUUACCCGGCCCGGACACUGGAAGGAUUGACAGAUUGAGAGCUCUUUCUUGAUUCAGUGGGUGGUGGUGCAUGGCCGUUCUUAGUUGGUGGAGCGAUUUGUCUGGUUAAUUCCGAUAACGAACGAGACUCUAGCCUAUUAAAUAGGCUCCCGGCUUUUAAACGCCGGGAGGACUUCUUAGAGGGACAGGUGGCGGUUCAGCCGCACGAAAGAGAGCAAUAACAGGUCUGUGAUGCCCUUUGAUGUCCGGGGCCGCACGCGCGCUACACUGAAGAGAUCAGCGUGCUUUAUGUUCCUGCUCCGACCGGAGUGGGGAACCCAGUGAAACUUCUUCGUGAUUGGGAUAGAACAUUGUAAUUAUUGUUCUUGAACGAGGAAUUCCCAGUAAAUGCGAGUCAUAAGCUCGCGUUGAUUACGUCCCUGCCCUUUGUACACACCCGCCCGUCGCUACUACCGAUUGAACGAUU